CCAAUGUCAACUGAGAAACGUCACCUAGAUCAGAUCAUACUCCUCGCCUUGUGGCUCCUCCUGAACCACCUGCUCUUCUCCUGUGGGGGGGGGGUGCGAGACAGCAAGGGUGAGCUCACACAUGAUCAUAGCUCAACAAGUUAUGGGGAACCAGUGGACAUAAACUCACAAAGGUGUGAGUUCAUGUGAUGUGUAAGGCAAAUCAAUGAUAGGGGUUAAUGUUGAGCAUUGUUUUUAAGUAGUUGGUCAAAAUUUUAUUAGUAGUUACUAAGUGUAAGUAAGUACCAAACCUUAAGUGAAGUAAUAGAACAAAACUAAUAAUAAACCCAUGCAAUGCAAAUGACAAAAUUGAAUUUAAGUUCCAUAACUUAAACAUCAGAGAGUCCUGAGCUGCUCGUGACCGUGAGCUCGGCUAGUAUACCAGUUUUACACUCUGCAGAGGUUGUACCCUUUACCCACAAGUCAUGCUACCCAUCCGCCAAGGGGUCGCGAAUCCCAUACACCUCUACCUAGGAAGCGCGGCAGGGCAACACUACGAGGCCUUUACAAAGUUCCACUAGCUUCCGAAAACCCGCUACAGUUUAUAGGAAGUUCCAAUGCAGGGUUCUUGUCUGACCGCCAUCGCAGCAAAAUCAACCAAGGACCUCCCUACACUGACCACUCCCCUACUGUCCUUGCCCCUUUCGGGUAAGGUAGUCUUCCACUAACUUUCCUAAUUAGUCAGCCAAGGGCGUCCCAUUAAACCCUUGUGGUGGCACGUGGUUCUCAAGUUAAGAUCUAUGUUCCAAUUAACAUUAAUGAACUUGACAUGAACAUAAAUAGAAUAACAAGAAUAAUUGGAACAUAGAUAUAAUAAAUGAUUAUCCCAAAACCAUGUAAAGCAAUAGCAAACUACCCAAGUGAUUCAGGGGUAAACAAGGUAAUGAGAUAAACAAUCUAGAAUGACCUAUCGGGUCCCAUCAAAAUUAACCUAUGCAUGAGCAAGUGAUAUUAAAGAACAUUAUUGGGUAAAAAGUGGUCAAGGACACAACUUUCCUUCUAUGAGCUCCUGCUCAGCUACUUCAACCUUCUCCUCACCAGGAUCCUCAGCAACGGGCUCUUCUACUCGCCACAAUACAAACAAGCACAGUGCAUAUAGAGAAAUUAAUAUUACACCAAACUUGUAAACAAAAUACACAGUAAUAAUCUACAUAUUAAAAUAAAAUUCUAGGAACAUGAAUCAUAAUUUUUGGAGUUAUAGCUUUUAAGAUAUGAAUUUACAAAGGUUUUAUGUGUUUAAAAAUAGGAUUAAGUGAGAAAUAAAUUUCUUACUGUUUUCAUGAUAAAACAGAGGCUUUAAGUGUUAGAUAAUAAAAUUACAAAAUUUUAGAAAGUGGAAUGGACUAAUUUGGACUAAAAAUGGAUUUUUUAUGAAUUUAUCAACUUCUAGUAAUUAUUUUCAUAUUAAAAAUUCAUUUUCCCUUUUAUUUAUUCAGUUUUAAACUGCACUGGAUUGGGCCUCAAUAUCUGUGAAGCGCAGGGGCCUCAGGGAUAAAAUUCCUAAGACCUAGGGAACAGCGCAUAGGACGGCGGGUUUAUUUCUAUUUUCUGCAGGGGCUCUUUAACAAAAUCGCCACGGCGAAAGGGUAUCGCGCGCACAAAACCGUAGGAUCGGAGUUCUGUGGCUGAGAUUAGAUCAACCACUAACUAUCCCGGUAUUCGAUGAUGGCCAUUGGAUCGGUGAUCGACGAACCGCAGCGACCCUCACCAAUCCACUACCGGAGCCUUCGAUUUCCAGAUCAGUGGUCAUGAUUUAAAGCACAAAGGGGUAAGCGUAGGAUCUAAUCGUAGCCGUUCAGGGGGAAAUCAAUGGUCUAGCGGCGACGUCACCACACUGACCCGAUUUCCCCACGGUGGUCGCCGGAAUCCAGCCAGCGCGCGGCGGCGCCAUUGCCGCACAACCAAACCUCGAUAAUACGCGUCCAAACUCCAAUCGGGUGGGAUCUACACGACAAUGAAGUGAUUGCAAGAGAUUGGGUAAGGUUCGUACCAGCACGAAGGCAGCGGGCAGCCCUGUCCACGGCGCGCGGCGGAAGCCGAGGUACGGUGAGGCAAUCCGGCGAUGCCAGCGACGAAUUCCGAGAGGUAUUGCCCCGAACACCUCCCCGGGGACCGGAUCGACGUUUUUGCGAGGAUUACUCGCGGCGGCACAAGGCACACGACUCCUCAUGGUUUCACUGCGCGGUAAUGGCGAGGGUUGCAAGGGCAGCGCGUACGGCGACUUGAGUGCGAAGGAGAGGUCACCGCGUCGCUUAAGUACUCCGGGCUCGGUCGCGAGGUCAUGCGGACUCCUCGACUGUAUGUUGGGCGACGACGGAUUUGCCGCGCAUGGCGCCG
rnacentral:lncRNA from 1 species